rnacentral:misc_RNA from 1 species
GAAUGACCGCAAUUAGUGGCAAUUCACGCAUCAGUCUUUUUUUUACUGAGGAUGACAUCGUUUUUCCAGAGUAUAAAGCCAGGUGAUUCUGUACCGGAAUUCCCAGUACUUCCAAAAGACUUCGUAGGAGAUUGUCAGAUCGCAACGCUCUCAACGAGCAGAAAGAAGUGUUCCUGACUUAAAAUGAGCAAGCGAAAAAGGGUAAUCUUGAAGUGAGUGAUCGGCGCUCAAUUAUCUUGGUAAAAGAUUCGGAUCUAGAUUCACCGUGGCUAUAGCCAAAGGGAGGGCUCCAAGAACCACCUGUUCGAUUUCAAGAGAACUGAACAUUAACAAUCUGUUACGUUCAAUCGAGCAUGAAAAUUAUAUCCUGAACAAUUUUACUUGUUCCUGCGGUCAUUAAUGGUAAUAAUGUUAAUAAUCGUAACAACAAUAACG